UACGAACCGUACGAACGUUAUUCGGAAUCACUGGGCUUAAAGCGUGUGUAGGCGGACUUCUAAGUGCCUUGUGAAAUCCCACGGCUCAACCGUGGAACUGCUGGGCAUACUGGGAGUCUUGGGCCAUUCAGGGGCAACUGGAACAAGCGGUGGAGCGGUGAAAUGCGUAGAGAUUUGGAGGAACACCAGUGGCGAAGGCGACUUUCUGGUCUGUAACUGACACUGAGGCGCGAAAGCGUGGGGAGCAAACAGG
rnacentral:rRNA from 1 species